rnacentral:lncRNA from 1 species
GAAAAUAAUUAUUUAUGGAGAGGGAGAGAAUGAACACGCACAUUUUGAUAGUGGACAUGUGCAAGGGUUAAGAGUGAUCGCGAGGCACAAAUGAAGUCCUCGUAAUCGGAUUGCACAUGGUUGGAAUAAUGAGUAUGGAGUAAUCCUUAUUCUUGAAAGCACGGAUCUCUAUGAAGCUCAAAGAAUUGAGGAGUAUUUUAUUUCUUUUUUCUCAAUUUUUUCUUUCCUUUUGAUUUUCUUUCUUUCUUUCUUCUUCUGAAAAAAACUAUUUUAUUCCUCUGGAGGGGCUUCCAUGCCAAAUUUCUAGGGCAACAGAGGGGGAACACCCCAG